rnacentral:rRNA from 1 species
AUUGAACGCUGGCGGCAUGCUUUACACAUGCAAGUCGAACGGUAACAGGCCGCAAGGUGCUGACGAGUGGCGAACGGGUGAGUAAUGCAUCGGAACGUGCCCAGUCGUGGGGAUAACGCAGCGAAAGCUGCGCUAAUACCGCAUACGAUCUAUGGAUGAAAGCGGGGGACCGUAAGGCCUCGCGCGAUUGGAGCGGCCGAUGUCAGAUUAGGUAGUUGGUGAGGUAAAGGCUCACCAAGCCAACGAUCUGUAGCUGGUCUGAGAGGACGACCAGCCACACUGGGACUGAGACACGGCCCAGACUCCUACGGGAGGCAGCAGUGGGGAAUUUUGGACGAUGGGCGCAAGCCUGAUCCAGCAAUGCCGCGUGCAGGAAGAAGGCCUUCGGGUUGUAAACUGCUUUUGUACGGAACGAAACGGUCCGGGUUAAUACCCUGGGCUAAUGACGGUACCGUAAGAAUAAGCACCGGCUAACUACGUGCCAGCCGCCGCCGUAACAC